rnacentral:misc_RNA from 1 species
UAAGGAGGGUUUUGUGAAUUUCUUUGUAACUUUUCUGUGUUCUGUAUAUUUCAUCGGACAUAGGAUACUUUGUUCCAUCAUCUCUUCUCUUGUGCAAGUGUUUUCUACUAACUUCUCAGAUUCUUUAUUCGCAUAAGAUAGAGAAAAAGAGCAAACGAAAAAGUGGGAAGAGCCUUGAAGAAGAAGACUAAUACUUGGAGAUAACGAGAGACAAGGCUGAUUCAGAAAUCUGCCUAAAGGACAUAAAAAGGGAAAUUGAAA